rnacentral:rRNA from 1 species
GACGGAGGAUGCAAGCGUUAUCCGGAAUGAUUGGGCGUAAAGCGUCCGCAGGUGGCUGUGUAAGUCUGCUGUCAAAGAGCGAAGCUCAACUUCGUAAAGGCAGUGGAAACUACACGGCUAGAGUGCGUUCGGGGCAGAGGGAAUUCCUGGUGUAGCGGUGAAAUGCGUAGAGAUCAGGAAGAACACCGGUGGCGAAGGCGCUCUGCUAGGCCGCAACUGACACUGAUGGACGAAAGCUAGGGGAGCGAAAGGG